rnacentral:rRNA from 1 species
AGAGUUUGAUCCUGGCUCAGGAUGAACGCUAGCGGGAGGCUUAAUACAUGCAAGUCGUACGGUAAGGGUAGCAAUACCCCUAGAGUGGCGUACGGGUGAGUAACACGUAUGUAAUCUGCCCCUAUCUGGGAGAUAGCCCUCCGAAAGGGGGAUUAAUACCCCAUAACAUUGCAGGGUGGCAUCACCACGCAAUUAAAGCUCCGGCGGAUAGGGAUGAGCAUGCGUUCGAUUAGCUAGUUGGCGAGGUAACGGCUCACCAAGGCUACGAUCGAUAGCUGGUCUGAGAGGAUGACCAGUCACACGGGCACUGAGACACGGGCCCGACUCCUACGGGAGGCAGCAGUAGGGAAUAUUGGGCAAUGGACGCAAGUCUGACCCAGCCAUCCCGCGUGAAGGAUGAAGGUCCUCUGGAUUGUAAACUUCUUUUAUCGGGGAAGAAAAAGCUGACUUGUCAGCAACUGACGGUACCCGAUGAAUAAGCACCGGCUAACUCCGUGCCAGCAGCCGCGGUAAUACGGAGGGUGCAAGCGUUAUCCGGAUUUACUGGGUUUAAAGGGUGCGUAGGCGGUUUUUUAAGUCAGUGGUGAAAGCUCGCAGCUUAACUGUGAAACUGCCAUUGAAACUGAAUAACUUGAAUAUCUUGGACGUGGGCGGAAUACAUCAUGUAGCGGUGAAAUGCUUAGAUAUGAUGUAGAACACCGAUUGCGAAGGCAGCUCACGACAAGACAAUUGACGCUGAGGCACGAAAGCGUGGGGAGCAAACAGGAUUAGAUACCCUAGUAGUCC